rfam:Thalassiosira oceanica strain CCMP1005 To_g04546, whole genome shotgun sequence.
CUCGCGAUAGCUCAGUUGGUAGAGCGGUGGACUGUAGAGUUAAUACUGUCAUCCAUCGGUCACUGGUUCGAUUCCGGUUCGCGAGA